UGUCCAGAAAGGUGUUCCUGACACUCAAUGCCACCUACGGGAGUGAAAAUUGGAUCUGGACCCAAGAUGGGACCCUAACUCAUACUAGCAAAGGAGUCCAGAGGUACAUUACCAAGUGCCAACCAACUGGGAUCCAGGGGAGUUUGGGCAAAGGAAGUUUGGCCACCCAAACUGGUCAAAUCUUAACCCUCUGGAUUUACAUAUGUGGAUCAUUGUGGAGCCCAAGGCCUGUUCCGUCUACCACAACAUCAUUUGAGAAUGAGUGGAACAACCUGUCCUCAUUCACCCUGAGGAGGGUCCGCUCCAAGUUCUGUUCCCGUGUGGAGCGGAGUAUGUAUUGCCGGUACAAACCGUACAAACAUGCCUCCUUGUCCCCUGUCAGAACAGCCCGAUAGCACGCCAGUUCAGCCGGGAAUGAAUAUGGGCAGAGGACUACGGAGAAACGGAGCUGAUUCUCAUUGAGGUGGAACAACUUGAACAACGCGGAACCCUAUGUUUGUAAUUACUUCCAUUAAUUGAAAGUUGUUGUUAUAUUUCACACAUUUAGAUGAGAUUGAUGGCUGAUGAUGAGACCUGUCGAAAUUGUCGGCUUCGCAGAGGGGUCAGAGAAAUCGAUAGCUUUUUUUUGUUUUCCAUGGGCCUGAAAUAGAAUGCUAAUGAUUGAGCUAGAUAGAAUGUGCCAGAACAUCAUCGUCUGCCACU